rnacentral:rRNA from 1 species
GGAGCGAAAGCGACGUUCAACCGCAAAACAAGCAGAGGGGGCUUAGUGGUGGGGUGACUGCGUACCUUUUGUAUAAUGGGUCAGCGACUUAUAUUCUGUAGCAAGGUUAACCGAAUAGGGGAGCCGGAGGGAAACCGAGUCUUAAUUGGGCGUUAAGUUGCAGGGUAUAGACCCGAAACCCGGUGAUCUAGCCAUGGGCAGGUUGAAGGUUGGGUAACACUAACUGGAGGACCGAACCGACUAAUGUUGAAAAAUUAGCGGAUGACCUGUGGCUGGGGGUGAAAGGCCAAUCAAACCGGGAGAUAGCUGGUUCUCCCCGAAAGCUAUUUAGGUAGCGCCUCGUGAAUUCAUCUCCGGGGGUAGAGCACUGUUUCGGCUAGGGGGCCAUCCCGGCUUACCAACCCGAUGCAAACUGCGAAUACCGGAGAAUGUUAUCACGGGAGACACACGGCGGGUGCUAACGUCCGUCGUGAAGAGGGAAACAACCCAGACCGCCAGCUAAGGUCCCAAAGUCAUGGUUAAGUGGGAAACGAUGUGGGAAGGCCCAGACAGCCAGGAUGUUGGCUUAGAAGCAGCCAUCAUUUAAAGAAAGCGUAAUAGCUCACUGGUCGAGUCGGCCUGCGCGGAAGAUGUAACGGGGCUAAACCAU